GUCGAUAUAGCUCAGUUGGUAGAGCAACUAACUUGUAAUUAGUAGGUCAAAGGUUCAAAUCCUUUUAUCGGCU
rnacentral:tRNA from 1 species